UGCAAGUCGGACGGUAGCACAGAGGAGCUUGCUCCUCGGGUGACGAGUGGCGGACGGGUGAGUAAUGUCUGGGGAUCUGCCCGAUAGAGGGGGAUAACCACUGGAAACGGUGGCUAAUACCGCAUAACGUCGCAAGACCAAAGAGGGGGACCUUCGGGCCUCUCACUAUCGGAUGAACCCAGAUGGGAUUAGCUAGUAGGCGGGGUAAUGGCCCACCUAGGCGACGAUCCCUAGCUGGUCUGAGAGGAUGACCAGCCACACUGGAACUGAGACACGGUCCAGACUCCUACGGGAGGCAGCAGUGGGGAAUAUUGCACAAUGGGCGCAAGCCUGAUGCAGCCAUGCCGCGUGUAUGAAGAAGGCCUUCGGGUUGUAAAGUACUUUCAGCGGGGAGGAAGGCGAUAAGGUUAAUAACCUUGUCGAUUGACG
rnacentral:rRNA from 1 species